GGACGGGUGAGUAAUGCCUAGGAAAUUGCCCUGAUGUGGGGGAUAACCAUUGGAAACGAUGGCUAAUACCGCAUGAUGCCUACGGGCCAAAGAGGGGGACCUUCGGGCCUCUCGCGUCAGGAUAUGCCUAGGUGGGAUUAGCUAGUUGGUGAGGUAAGGGCUCACCAAGGCGACGAUCCCUAGCUGGUCUGAGAGGAUGAUCAGCCACACUGGAACUGAGACACGGUCCAGACUCCUACGGGAGGCAGCAGUGGGGAAUAUUGCACAAUGGGCGCAAGCCUGAUGCAGCCAUGCCGCGUGUGUGAAGAAGGCCUUCGGGUUGUAAAGCACUUUCAGUCGUGAGGAAGGUAGUGUAGUUAAUAGCUGCAUUAUUUGACGUUAGCGACAGAAGAAGCACCGGCUAACUCCGUGCCAGCAGCCGCGGUAAUACGGAGGGUGCGAGCGUUAAUCGGAAUUACUGGGCGUAAAGCGCAUGCAGGUGGUUUGUUAAGUCAGAUGUGAAAGCCCGGGGCUCAACCUCGG
rnacentral:rRNA from 1 species